rnacentral:lncRNA from 1 species
CUUAUUUCUGGAAGUUCUUGACACUUCCAUCCUGGCUAUUGUACAAGCAGAAGAUCUUGGAGUAGGUGAAUAACAUUGAGUCAGCAGCUAAGUGGAAAAGUAUACUGAAUUUGGAGUUAGAUGACCUGGUUUCAAAUCCUAUCUUUGCCGCUAACUUCCUGUGUGACCUUAAACCAAUCACUUAACUUGCCUAGGUCUUGGUUUCCUCAUUUAUAAAACAUAAGGAUGGGCCUGGAAGACCCCUUCUAUAUCUAAAUCUAUGGUGCUAUGUUUAAAAUGGUGUUUGAGGAAGAUCAUUGGUGCUUUGUGUUCCAGGAUCCAUUGCCUAAGGCAAAGGGGUCUUCAUUUUGGGAAUUACCAGAGUGACCAGUCAAGACCUGCGUGAGGACCCAGAUGAUCCUAUUCUCUGGGCUGGCAAGGAGAGCUUUGGCCUUGGAAUAGUGGAUAGAAAAUCUUCCCAAAAGAAUGAUGAUGAACUGAACUUUGAAAGAAGUGGUAGAAGAUCUACGAGAGAGACCUCAGGUAUUGCUCUCCACUGUCUUCAGGCUCACAUAAUACUUUGUCCAAUGUUGACUAUGAAUACUGU